GCCCCGGUAAACGGCGGCCGUAACUAUAACGGUCCUAAGGUAGCGAAAUUCCUUGUCGGGUAAGUUCCGACCUGCACGAAUGGCGUAAUGAUGGCCAGGCUGUCUCCACCCGAGACUCAGUGAAAUUGAACUCGCUGUGAAGAUGCAGUGUACCCGCGGCAAGACGGAAAGACCCCGUGAACCUUUACUAUAGCUUGACACUGAACAUUGAGCCUUGAUGUGUAGGAUAGGUGGGAGGCUUUGAAGUGUGGACGCCAGUCUGCAUGGAGCCGACCUUGAAAUACCACCCUUUAAUGUUUGAUGUUCUAACGUGGGCCCCUAAUCGGGGUUGCGGACAGUGUCUGGUGGGUAGUUUGACUGGGGCGGUCUCCUCCUAAAGAGUAACGGAGGAGCACGAAGGUUGGCUAAUCCUGGUCGGACAUCAGGAGGUUAGUGCAAUGGCAUAAGCCAGCUUGACUGCGAGCGUGACGGCGCGAGCAGGUGCGAAAGCAGGUCAUAGUGAUCCGGUGGUUCUGAAUGGAAGGGCCAUCGCUCAACGGAUAAAAGGUACUCCGGGGAUAACAGGCUGAUACCGCCCAAGAGUUCAUAUCGACGGCGGUGUUUGGCACCUCGAUGUCGGCUCAUCACAUCCUGGGGCUGAAGUAGGUCCCAAGGGUAUGGCUGUUCGCCAUUUAAAGUGGUACGCGAGCUGGGUUUAGAACGUCG
rnacentral:rRNA from 1 species